CCUACGGGAGGCAGCAGUGGGGAAUAUUGCGCAAUGGGCGAAAGCCUGACGCAGCGACGCCGCGUGAGGGAUGAAGGUCUUCGGAUUGUAAACCUCUUUCAGCAGGGACGAAGCGAAAGUGACGGUACCUGAAGAAGAAGCACCGGCUAACUACGUGCCAGCAGCCGCGGUAAUACGUAGGGUGCAAGCGUUGUCCGGAUUUAUUGGGCGUAAAGAGCUCGUAGGCGGUUAGACACGUCGGAUGUGAAAACUGGGGGCUCAACCCCCAGCCUGCAUUCGAUACGGUCUGACUAGAGUGUGGUAGGGGUAACUGGAAUUCCUGGUGUAGCGGUGAAAUGCGCAGAUAUCAGGAGGAACACCGAUGGCGAAGGCAGGUUACUGGGCCACCACUGACGCUGAGGAGCGAAAGCGUGGGGAGCAAACAGGAUUAGAUACCCUGGUAGUCCACGCCGUAAACGGUGGGCGCUAGAUGUGGGGACCAUUCCAUGGUUUCUGCGUCGCAGCUAACGCAUUAAGCGCCCCGCCUGGGGAGUACGGUCGCAAGACUAAAACUCAAAGGAAUUGACGG
rnacentral:rRNA from 2 species